rnacentral:snoRNA from 1 species
UGGAGGCCUGAGAAGGUGGAGCAGUCAUGCCAUGCUGCUUCUUACUGGUAUUAACCUCCUACACUAACAAUGCUUGCACUCGGCAUCUUUCCUCUUUUUCUGGGAAAGUAUCUUGUGUUCAGCAC